rnacentral:rRNA from 1 species
UACGAAGGGGGCUAGCGUUGUUCGGAAUGACUGGGCGUAAAGGGCGCGUAGGCGGUUAUUCAAGUUGGAGGUGAAAGCCCGAAGCUUAACUUCGGAAUUGCCUUCAAAACUGGGUAGCUUGAGUAUGGAAGAGGGUUGUGGAAUUCCCAGUGUAGAGGUGAAAUUCGUAGAUAUUGGGAAGAACACCGGUGGCGAAGGCGGCAACCUGGUCCAUUACUGACGCUGAGGCGCGACAGCGUGGGGAGCAAAC